ACCCAUCUCUUGAUACGGUUCGGGUUACAUCGCUGUCCUCUCUGAAAUAUCAAAAUCACUAACCCUAAUCACCGUUCUCGAUCUCUUUGUCGAUUCUCUUCCUCCCCCAAACUCAUCCCGAUCUCUUUGUCGAUUCUCUUUCUCUCCCCAAAUUUUGAUUUUCUUUAGCGACCAAGGUACUUCAAUGUGCUCUCAUAAAGCCUUCAAUGUUUUCUUCAACCAUGCUGUUGCCUGUUGGUGAUGUUUUCAAUUUAAUAUGUGGAGAGGAUGAGAUCGACUUGGGGAGAGAAGGUUAUUGUUUGGAAUUGAAACCCGAAAAUGGAUUUCACAAUCGUAAGCUCUCACUUCUUUGGGCUCACUUCGUCUUCUUAAAGAGGCUUUAUCGGCUGCGUUGAGGCUGUAUCGUCCGGUGCCAGAGUUCUUCAACCCCGGCUUGAAGGGCGACAAGAUACGACAUGGGACUUUUGUUCCGCAGUGAUGUUUUUGAUUUACUUGGCUGGGAGGAUGAGAACGACUCUGGGAGAUUUUGUUUCGAGUUCAAACCGGAAAGAUUGACUUUGAAAUCGUACGCUCUUAGUAUACAUAAUUAUGGGCCAAUACACACAGAUUACGAUACAAACACAAACACGAAGCUCAGCAUUAGAGUUUCAGCCCCGGAGAUUCAACAGCAACUAAAGUUGUUACUUGGCUUUCUAUUUCCUGAAGCACAGAACGUAGUAUAUAAAAGGAAACAGGAAUACACUUUGCAAAUAUUCUCUGUGUCUUUGGAUUAAUCUAUAAUCUUGUGAUGUAGAUAGAUACAAAAGCUUCUUACGGAUCUCCAUGGAGAAUUCAUGAAGGUAACCUGAAACAACUCUCUAUCUCUUGCAAGUGGAUGCCAGACUAAUGUCAUAGUUUGGUAAAAUUCCAGAUUAAGUUUUGGUGAAUGACGUUGUGUUUUGUACAGAAGAUAAGAACUCAUGUUCGUUAUGGGAAGCAGUUAUCACAAUACAACCUUGCUUAUCGAAUUUUCAUCAAGUAAUAUUACAUGAUUUAUAAUUAGUUGUGUAUUUUAUGACUUUUUAUAAGUGUGGUUGACGAUAAAAAUGACAAGCUAUCACAAAAGAUGCCUCAAGUUCUGGUAUUUUAGAUAUGAGACUCUCUGGACCUUUAAUAUGUGAUAAUGUAUCGAAGUUUUAAGUCUUCUUCCGACAAUACUCUAAUUCGAUUUUGUCGUGUAUCGAUACAUUUCCUGAAGGGCUUACUCGGAAGCUUCCAGUUACCAACAAGUAUGUGAAGCCAAUAUGUAUAGGAUUUGGAGAGGCGGAGGACCACGACCUUGAAAAUCUGAAGAAACAGCUCGAAGAUGAUGAUCUCAUCAGAGGUACAAUAACUGCGGAACAUCAAGGCAGUGAAGAGUCUGGUGUUAAUUAGCUGAUACAAAAGACAACCGCGCAUACAGCUGAGAGGGUCACGUGGUCUAAGUCUUGAAUUAACGUUUGAGUUGUUCCGUUCAGUGACAAAGGCUUCUGUCCAUUCCAAGUCAAGCAGGUACACAUAUGAAUCCGGCUCCUGUGUUUAGAAUCAAGAAACAAAGUUCCUUCGCGUCAAAGGCUUGUGUGCGAGUCUCUUCAGUGCUCUCUUUGGCUUUCUUAUGUUCGAUUCACACAAGUAUUGGUCUUCCACAACAAAGACUCAUCCACAUUAUUACAUGUUCUGCUAUAAACCUUUUCUUUUACCUCUAGGCUCAUUGUCAAUACCAAAAUACAGCUGCGUUUUGACCUUGAUUAGGUGUGAUUGUGACUCUCUUUCACUUCCUCGAUGCACAUGGCUACACUUUUCUUUGCGGUGGUUGAGAUGUCGAUAGACAUAAUCACUCUUGGGAAAAUCAAGGGACUGCUCAGCAUGGGUCGCCUCUUCUGCUUGAAAUAUUGGAGACCAAUGAGUUAGAGUUUAGAGACAUCAAUUGGCAGAUUCAUACAAUAUAAGCUUAGAGUUUUGUUUCUUCUUUGUUUUUCCGGUUGAUUGGUUUUAAGAAAUGGAAUCCUUUCUCUCAAAAGAUUAUAAGCAUAUUGUAGUGUCAGAUGGCUUGAUGAUUCUUCGAUUUUGAAA